GAGCUCAAAUUUGAAAUCUGGCAGCUAUGCUGUCCGAGUUGUAAUCUAGAGAAGUGUUUUCCGUGCUAGACCGUGUACAAGUCCAUUGGAACAUGGCGUCAUAGAGGGUGAGAAUCCCGUCCAUGACACGGUGACUAGUGCUCUGUGAUACACUCUCAACGAGUCGAGUUGUUUGGGAAUGCAGCUCAAAAUGGGUGGUAAAUUCCAUCUAAAGCUAAAUACAGGCGAAAGACCGAUAGCGAACAAGUACCGUGAGGGAAAGAUGAAAAGCACUUUGGAAAGAGAGUUAAACAGUACGUGAAAUUGUUGAAAGGGAAACGCUUGAAGUCAGUCGCGUCUUCAGAAAUUCAGCUAGUGAAACUAGUGUACUUUUCUGUUGGACGGGCCAGCAUCAGUUUCAGCCACCAGAAAAGGGUAAGAGAAAGGUAGCAUCUCCGGAUGUGUUAUAGUCUCUUAUCAGUAUAUGGUGGCAGGGACUGAGAACGCAGCACGCCCUUGUUGGCCGGGGUUCGCCCACGUAACGUGCUUAGGAUGCUGGCGUAAUGGCUUUAAACGACCCGUCUUGAAACACGGACCAAGGAGUCUAACAUGCAUGCGAGUAUUUGGGUGGCAAACCCAUAUGCGUAAUGAAAGUGAAUCACAGUUGGGACUUGUGUCAUGCAAGGCACCGACGCCCGGUCCAUGAUCCCUCCGUGGUGACGGAUCCGAGGUAGAGCAUGUAUG
rnacentral:rRNA from 1 species